GUCUUUUUGAAUUAAAUUUAAAGUCUAACCUGCCCACUGAAAUUUUAAAUGGCCGCAGUAUUCUAACUGUGCAAAGGUAGCAUAAUCAUUAGUCUUUUAAUUGAAGGCUGGAAUGAAUGGUUGGACGAAAUAUUAACUGUUUCAUUUAAAUUUUUUAUAGAAUUUUUUUUUUAGUCAAAAAGCUAAAAUUUAUUUAAAAGACGAGAAGACCCUAUAAAUCUUUAUAUUUUGUUGAUUUUAAUUAUAAAGAUUAUUUUUGUUAUAAUCAGUAAAAAUAUUUUAUUGGGGUGAUAUUAAAAUUUAAAAAACUUUUAAUUUUUAAAACCAUUAAUAUAUGAAUAAUUGAUCCAUUAAUAAUGAUUAAAAAUUUAAGUUACUUUAGGGAUAACAGCGUAAUUUUUUUGGAGAGUUCAUAUCGAUAAAAAAGAUUGCGACCUCGAUGUUGGAUUAAGAUAUAAUUUUGGGUGUAGCCGUUCAAAUUUUAAGUCUGUUCGACUUUUAAAUUCUU
rnacentral:rRNA from 1 species